rnacentral:rRNA from 1 species
UACGGAGGUCCCAAGCGUUGUUCGGAUUCACUGGGCGUAAAGGGUGCGUAGGCGGUUGGGAAAGUUCGGUGUGAAAUCUCCCGGCUCAACUGGGAGGGUGCGCUAAAUACUGCCGUGCUCGAGUAUAGGAGAGGUAAGCGGAAUUCCUGGUGUAGCGGUGAAAUGCGUAGAUAUCAGGAGGAACACCUGUGGUGUAGACGGCUUACUGGACUAUAACUGACGCUGAGGAACGAAAGCGUGGGUAGCAAACAGG